rnacentral:RNase_P_RNA from 1 species
GAGUCGGCUGCGUGGCUGCGGAGGCUCUUUUGAGGGUCGACGAGGAAAGUCCGAGCUUCACAAAGCAGGGUGACGGAUAACGUCCGCCGAAGGUGACUUCCGGGAAAGUGCAACAGAAAAUACCGCAAAAGUUUUACUUUUGUAAGGGUGAAAAGGCGAGGUAAGAGCUCACCGACCGCACGGUAACGCGCGGUGCCAUGUAAACCCCACCCGAAGCAAGAUAGGGUCGUUCCGAUACGCGGUCGCUUGCCGCGGAACGACCGCAAACAGUCGCUUGAGCUUGUCGGUAACGGCAAGCGUAGAUAGAUAGCCACGCCAGACAGAACUCGGCUUACAGGCCGACUCGC